UACGAAGGGGGCGAGCGUUGUUCGGAAUCACUGGGCGUAAAGGGCGCGUAGGCGGCACGGCAAGUCGGGAGUGAAAGGCCUGGGCUCAACCGAGGAACUGCUUUCGAGACUGCCGAGCUAGAGUGCGGAAGGGGCAACUGGAAUUCCCAGUGUAGCGGUGAAAUGCGUAGAUAUUGGGAAGAACACCUGAGGCGAAGGCGGGUUGCUGGGCCGACACUGACGCUGAGGCGCGAAGGCCAGGGGAGCAAACGGG
rnacentral:rRNA from 1 species